rnacentral:rRNA from 1 species
AUGUCCUCCGCCCCCGACGCCGAUCACUGCGACGCCGGAACCAUCAUGGCCGACGUCCUCUCCAAGGGCCGCGAGUCCUGCUACAAGGCCCGAGACGCCUUCUACGCGUGCGUGGAGAAGCACGCGGACAAGAAGCCCACCGAGAUCGCCACCAUGGGGCUCCUCUUCCCCGCCGACUGCAAGAAGUCCCGCGCCCAGUACGUCAGCAGCUGCCGCCCCUCCUGGGUAACUAUUCUAAUCCCCAUCCGCCUCGCAGCCAGCCGCCAAUCCCUCCAUGAUUCGCGUCUCUGCUUGCUUCUCCUAAUAACAAUUGGUUUCGGUUUCCUUCGCCAGGUGAGGCACUUCGACCGGCAGCACUGCGCCAAGAAGCGGGUGCAGAGGCUGCUCGACGGCGACGACGACGGCCGGGGUCCCAUGUCGCUGCCCCAGCCCUACACGUUCAAGCAAUAA